UUUCUUCGGAGCACCGAGUGACAGGUGGUGCAUGGUUGUCGUCAGCUCGUGUCGUGAGAUGUUGGGUUAAGUCCCGCAACGAGCGCAACCCUUGUCCUUAGUAGCCAGCAGUUCGGCUGGGCACUCUAGGGAGACUGCCAGGGAUAACCUGGAGGAAGGCGGGGAUGACGUCAAAUCAUCAUGCCCCUUAUGACUUGGGCUACACACGUGCUACAAUGGCGUAAACAAAGGGAAGCAAAAAUGUGACUUCUAGCAAAUCCCAAAAAUAACGUCCCAGUUCGGACUGUAGUCUGCAACUCGACUACACGAAGCUGGAAUCGCUAGUAAUCGCAAAUCAGAAUGUCGCGGUGAAUACGUUCCCGGGUCUUGUACACACCGA
rnacentral:rRNA from 1 species